AGAUUUUUCUUUCAGUGAGAAAAAGCUUCUUUUUCAUUGCAUACUUAAUAAUUUUAAAACAUUUUAUAGACUAAUUUCUUUAGGCCUUAAUCUUGACAUUCCUGCAUGAACCACAAAAGCUGAAACUCACAAAAAACAGCCUCAUCAUGAGCUAAAAAUAUGAAAUUUAAUGGUAGAAAUUAGGGAAAGCAGUGGAAAUUACUCUAAAGCUUAUCCCAGACUUCAGUUACAUGUAUGCAUAUAUCCUCUUGCCUGAAGGCACUGCAGCACAGGUGUUUGGGUCUCUCAUUAAAAUGAAUCUCAGUGAUAGCAUCCCCUUAAACACACUCAUGUUUUUAAUUUGCUUAUAUUUGUACAUUCACAAGUAAGCUUACAGGGCUCAUUUUCUUUUGCAGAACUCAUCUCAGAUGUCCAUUAAAUUUCAUACACAUUGAAACUUUUAAGGCUUAGCAAAAAUUAAUUUGGAACUUGAAGAUCAAAAGAUUAUCGUCUGAAUAUAAUGUCUACUGGUCAGCAUCUCAGAAAACUGUGAAAAUGUGAUUGGCUAUGGCCAGGCGAAUUCUUCAGCAAACCUGACAAUAAAAGCAUAUAAAUCCCUUACAGGGAAACAAAUGUUGUAUUAUACUUUGGGUUUAUAUACUUAGGGCUAGCUCUAGUACCAGCUACAAGUACCUAGUCUUUGUGCUUCUGCCUUGUCUCCUUCCCAGCCCCAGGAAUGCAGUGGCCUGAUGGAAGCACCCAAAGGCAGCUGGUCCUCAGUGGCCACUUGGAGCUGCCUGGUUUCCUCAGUUGAUACUAAAGCUGCAGGACAGCUGUGGUUGGAGUGGCACCAUUGGAGGGAUGCCAUGGGAACUAUUAGGUUGAGCACUGCAGACCUGCAUGUGAGCUAAACGCUAAGCUACGUCCAUUGUGCUGACGCCAACACACCUUGGCCGUGGAAGUUUGAAAACCUAGAGAAUGCUAAAUGCAAAGGUAUACAUUCAUACGGACUUUUAAGUAUCAACGAAGAAGAGUGAGGCCAGGCCUUGAACGUUUGGAUCUCUUAUUUGAAAACUUUCAAUGACUUCAUAUACCAGGUGCUAAUAGAACACAUAUAUCCCUUCAAAUGUAUUGCAUUCAAUAUACUGUGUAUAAUAAGGUAAAUUCAAUAUCUCUCUCCAGGUUAGACUGUUCUGUUCCGAAUUGCAGUGCUGUAAAUACAAGUAACUGCACUGAAUCUGCUUGUCAAACCUCUUUUUUAAAAUCAAAUUGACAUGACUGACCCCAGUUUUGUAACUAAGCCACAGCAUGAACUAUUUCUUCUAAAUAGGUAGUUUGCAUAAGGAAUGUAUAAUUUUAGAGAUUUUCCAGGUGCUUGACACCUAGGUUUUAAGAAGAAAGGGGAAAAUACCAACCUCUGAAACAUUAAAUGUGAAGCUUCAAGCUUAUAACAUAC
rnacentral:lncRNA from 1 species